rnacentral:rRNA from 1 species
GACGAACGCUGGCGGCGCGCCUAACACAUGCAAGUCGAACGGAGCUGUUUUCUCUGAAGUUUUCGGAUGGAAGAGAGUUCAGCUUAGUGGCGAACGGGUGAGUAACACGUGAGCAACCUGCCUUUCAGUGGGGGACAACAUUUGGAAACGAAUGCUAAUACCGCAUAAUGCAUCAAUUUCGCAUGUUAUUGAUGCCAAAGGAGCAAUCCGCCUUUAGAUGAGCUCGCGUCUGAUUAGCUAGUUGGCGGGGUAACGGCCCACCAAGGCGACGAUCAGUAGCCGGACUGAGAGGUUGAACGGCCACAUUGGGACUGAGACACGGCCCAG